AGAUUCUUUGCGCGCCUUUGUUCAACCUGGAUCUUUUUGACGAUGGCGGCAAACUCAAACAGCGGCACCGGCACCGAAUACACUUUCAAAUGGAGCAAGGAGCAAACGGAGGAAUUUAUAAAACUCGGGUGAAAACGACCACCUCUUCACAGGGGCCAAAAAUACGGCCACACUCGGAUGGAGUAUAAUUAUUGGCUGAGCAGGAGUCCCUGGUGGUGCUGCUGGACUGGAUGGGAUGCCACAAUAAAGACCCUGGAGUCUUCUGGCUGUGAGUGGGACAUCAUGUGGGGGGUGGGGGAUGCAUGUCUCCACUGUCCACCACAUCGUCCAUCAACGGGGUUUGCAGGGCUGACGCAAUUGACGGCUGCCAUGUCACUAAAAAUGUUUAAAAGAGAGGCAAGAAUAAA